rnacentral:rRNA from 1 species
GAUGAACGCUAGCUACAGGCUUAACACAUGCAAGUCGAGGGGAAACGAUAUUGGAAGCUUGCUUCCGAUAGGCGUCGACCGGCGCACGGGUGAGUAACGCGUAUCCAACCUGCCCACCACUUGGGGAUAACCUUGCGAAAGUAAGACUAAUACCCAAUGACGUCCAUAGAAGACAUCUGAAAUGGAUUAAAGAUUCAUCGGUGAUGGAUGGGGAUGCGUCUGAGUAGCUUGUUGGUGGGGUAACGGCCCACCAAGGCGACGAUCAGUAGGGGUGCUGAGAGGAAGGUCCCCCACAUGGGAACUGAGAAACGGUCAAAACUCCUACGGGAGGCAGCAGUGAGGAAUAUUGGUCAAUGGGCGAGAGCCUGAACCAGCCAAGUAGCGUGCAGGAUGACGGCCCUAUGGGUUGUAAACUGCUUUUAUAAGGGAAUAAAGUGGGAGUCGUGACUCUUUUUGCAUGUACCUUAUGAAUAAGGACCAGCUAAUUCCGUGCCAGCCGCCGCCGUAA